CUCAUGUAAAAGGGAAUUCUGCCACAGAAGUAUGCAAAGAUGAGCAUAAACUGCAGAAAUGUGCUCUGAAGGUCAUCUUAAUUUGGCAACAAAUGAAUGUUGUGUAGAGAUUGAAGUAAAGUUAGAGGGACAGAUACCUGGUGAGAGACCUCAGGCUGUGUCUGUGCAGUGAGUAUGAGUCACACAAGCUGUGUUUCCUCUGCUGUGGAGCCCCAGUAUACAAAAGCAGAGUCUUGGUGUUUAAUACAGAUUCCUCUCACAUGGAUGUAAUUCACAAGUGCGAGAAUCCAAUUCUCGAAUGCUCGAAUACUUUAUUUUGUCUUUGUGCACCCCUCUCUCACCCAGGGGUAUCAGAAGAUAUCCAGUGAAGUUCACUAUGACACAAAGC
rnacentral:lncRNA from 1 species